ensembl:lncRNA
ACUUGUUGUAAGAGAUGAUCAUGGGCAUGGAGUCCCUGUGGCCUAUGCUAUUGUCAGCAACGAAAGUCAGAAAACCCUGGAAACUGUUCUUGGAAUAGUUUGUGAGCAUUUCCCAACUUCCCCGAGAGCAUUUAUGGUUGACAAAGACUUUGCGGAAAUAAAUGCUUUGCAGAAGGUUUUUCCAGAGUCAGCUAUCCUUCUAUGCUGGUACCAUGUCUUGCAGGUAAACCACAUUGUUUUCUUUUCACGUUGUCUAAGAUGCACCUGAAACACAUUUUUACAACAGGGUCCUGUUGUUAUGAUUUGCCUCAUUGUGAUAUUCACCUACUCAGGUUAAUGAAUAUAAAGGGAUAAAAUGUUGAGUGACUAUGUCCAUCCAUUUAAGACCACAGUGCACUCAUCUUCUGGUGGCUGCUUCCCAAAGCUCUUUUUGACAUUUAAAAAUAUGUUUGCCUGGUUGAUUUCUGUAAUGCACAGGUCCUCUUGUCCAGUGAGUGACAAAGUUAUUUUUGGACGUCAGCUUUCUUUUAUGCUUUUUGUACAGCUGCCCCUCUGUCUCUCUCUCCAGAUUAACUUUUUUCCUCUUACAUUCACAGGCUGUUAAUCGAUGGCUUUCAAAAUCAGAGUCCGGGGUCCAUGGGCUUUCUAAAACCCAAAAGAGAAAUGAAAUCAUUUCUUUCUUUUGUAAGCUGAAAGCUUGCACAUCUGAGGACGACUUUAAAGCCACAUCAGCAGAGUUCUGCCAGACAAGCAAUACCCUUUGGUGUGCCAGUAUUUUCAGAAGCACUGGGAAGGCAUUGGCCACAUGUGGUGUGACUACGGCCGUCGCUUCAGUCACGCUCGUUCUGAAACAAACAAUGUGAUUGAAAGAUUUUUCCACCGCCUGAAAUACCAGUUUUUAUCUGGCUACAAGAAUAGGCGUCUGGAUGAUCUGAUUGAAGUGCUCCUAGGGAAGGCCGACGACUACUUCUCAGUCAUAAAAACCCUGCAAGAUGUGGGCCGCAUGAAAAACAGGUUUGCUGACACCUUGUCUCAAGUUUCAGACUCUGCUUCAAGACUGAUGGAAAGUGGUUGGGCUCUUAAAAUUACAGUCAAGAACAGCCAUGGAGUUAAUGCAUAUCAAGUCCCAUCUGAGUCAAGAGAAGACAUGGUGUAUGAUGUCUGCCCUGUUGAGUCCUACUGCAACUGUACAUAUGGCUUACGAGGACUUCUUUGCAAGCAUCUAGUGUUACUUGCAAAAUUAGCAGAGGCUGACAAUGACAUCUAUCCAAACAUGGAAACAGACAUUUCUACCUUGGCAAGAAUUGCAGUGAAAGAAAGGCAUUACUUUGUACACUGUGAGGACUUGAAAGUGAUAAAAAUGCCAAGUUUGUUUGGAAAUCUGUUUUUUUGCAUCGGCUGAAACACUUCAGUGCACUUGUUGUACGUUCUCUCACUAUAACACAUGUGCUUGCCUGAAGGUGGCUUGUAGCCAUUUUAAACAAAUGAAAAACUCUCUGAAAAGUCCUCUAUCAACUUUGAAUGACACUCCUGUAGUUGAAAGCACAGACAAAAAAUGCACAGAAGAUGCAGUUGGAAAACUAAAUGCUGUUUUAGACACAGUUAAACAGUGGGCAUUCAUUCCAGAGGGUAUUACUGCAAUGAUAGAUGAACUGCAUACAAAUGUCUUAAAAACAAAACAAGUAGGCAAAAGUAUAUGCCAGUACGAAAUAAAGACGACAGAUAAUGCACGCAAAAUUAGGCCAUUGUAUUCUAGCAAGAAACGUUCGGCCAGCAUCGACAUUCCAACAGUCUGUGAAAAUGAAUGUGAACAGUCGAUAACCACUGAAAGAGAGACAUCCUCUGGAGAAAAUGAAAACCUUUUGGAAUACAAAACAAAAAAGAGAAGAGUUAAAGCUAAGUAUAUGCACAAGUAGACUUUUGUGUGACAUUUCAAAGGGACUGCAUCCAUUACUUCUGUUUAUUGAAACCUAAAGCUGAAUAGCUGUCUUAACUUUCUGCCAAGGAACAGAUGAAAAGAAAUUGUUUGCUCUCUCAAGCAGUUGUUAUUUAUGUGUGUUAUUCAUUACUUUGGCUUGGUUGCUGUUUUUGAUACAAAUUCAUCUGUGCCCAUUGUAAUAUUUUCACAUGUUACUAUUUUUAUAUUGCUAUGCAUUAUAAAUAAAGGAUUACUUAUUACUAUUAAA